rnacentral:ncRNA from 1 species
AAAAAGACAAUGAUGAAGGAAGAGUAAAUAGUUUACUGUUUUUAGAGAGAGAAAUUCAUCGGCUGAAAGAUUUCUUAAACAAGUAUUAUUGAAAACCACCUUCUAGUUGAAUGCUGAAUUUUAAGUAAGCAUAUCCGCUAAUAAAGCGUUAAAUUUAAUCAAAGAGGGUAGUGUUAUUAUGAAUUAAAUACUAUCAACUUGGGUGGAACCGCGAAUAUACUCGUCCCAAUA